rnacentral:lncRNA from 1 species
AAUAACAAAAUUAUUUUUUUACUUAUUUUGUGUUAAAUUUAUAAUGUCAUUUCAUUUAUACCAAUCAUUAACCAAAAAACCAAAGUAAUUGGUAAAAAAUGGUGUUUAAUUCUAUUCAUUAUACAGUUGAAAAAUCAAAUGAAAAUUAAAAUUAAAGAUACAUAAAUAGAUAGGCGGAUGGAGAGAGAGAGAGAGAGAGAGAGAAAGGGAAAGGCUAAUUACACAUUUUCCCCCCAAGGAAAAUACCUCCCCCCCCCCCCCCCCCC